rnacentral:rRNA from 1 species
UGCGUAGGUGGGCAGGUAAGUCAGUGGUGAAAUCUCUAAGCUUAACUUAGAAACUGCCGUUGAUACUAUCUGUCUUGAAUGUAGUGGAGGUGAGCGGAAUAUGUCAUGUAGCGGUGAAAUGCUUAGAUAUGACAUAGAACACCCAUUGCGAAGGCAGCUCGCUACACUAUUAUUGACACUGAGGCACGAAAGCGUGGGAUCAAACAGGAUUAGAUACCCUGGUAGUCCACGCCCUAAACGAUGGAUACUCGACAUCAGCGAUACACUGUUGGUGUCUGAGCGAAAGCAUUAAGUAUCCCACCUGGGGAAGUACGACCGCUAAGGUUGAA